CAGCCGCCGCGGUAAUACAGAGGGUGCGAGCGUUAAUCGGAUUUACUGGGCGUAAAGCGUGCGUAGGCGGCUAAUUGAGUCGGAUGUGAAAUCCCCGAGCUUAACUUAGGAAUUGCAUUCGAUACUGGGAAGCUAGAGUAUGGGAGAGGAUGGUAGAAUUCCAGGUGUAGCGGCGAAAUGCGUAGAGAUCUGGAGGAAUACCGAUGGCGAAGGCAGCCAUCUGGCCUAAUACUGACGCUGAGGUACGAAAGCAUGGGGAGCAAACAGGAUUAGAUACCCCAGUAGUCCCUGUCUCUUAUAC
rnacentral:rRNA from 1 species